AUACCUUUCUCGGCCUUUUGGCUAAGAUCAAGUGUAGUAUCUGUUCUUAUCAGUUUAAUAUCUGAUAUGUGAGCCAUUGGGGAGAGCCCACCACAAUAGCUUGCUAUUGGGGCUCUCAGGCGUCGCCCAAGCGUUGCACUACUGCUCGGGCCUGGCGCACCCCAC
rfam:Corchorus capsularis cultivar CVL-1 contig09719, whole genome shotgun sequence.